UACGUAGGGAGCGAGCGUUAUCCGGAUUUAUUGGGCGUAAAGCGUGCGCAGCUGGUUUAUUAAGUAUGAAAUUAAAGCCCGGGGCUUAACUCCGGUUCGUUUCAUAAACUGGUAGGCUUGAGUGUGGUAGAGGUAAGUGGAAUUUCUAGUGUAGCGGUAAAAUGCGUAGAUAUUAGAAGGAACAUCAGUGGCGAAGGCGACUUACUGGGCCAUCACUGACAGUCAUGCACGAAAGCGUGGGGAGCAAAUAGGAUUAGAUACCCUAGUAGUCCACGCCGUAAACUAUGAGCACUAAGUGUCGGGAUUCCCGGUGCUGAAGUUAACACAUUAAGUGCUCCGCCUGAGUAGUACGGUCGCAAGACUGAA
rnacentral:rRNA from 1 species